UACGGAGGGUCCAAGCGUUAUCCGGAAUCAUUGGGUUUAAAGGGUCCGUAGGCGGCUUUGUAAGUCAGUGGUGAAAGCCCAUCGCUCAACGGUGGAACGGCCAUUGAUACUGCAAGACUUGAAUUAUUGGGAAGUAACUAGAAUAUGUAGUGUAGCGGUGAAAUGCUUAGAGAUUACAUGGAAUACCAAUUGCGAAGGCAGGUUACUACCAAUAUAUUGACGCUGAUGGACGAAAGCGUGGGGAG
rnacentral:rRNA from 1 species